UUUUUUUUUUUUUUUUUUUCCCAGAACUUCUUCUAGGACAAAGGCUUCGUUUGUUUUUUAAAUCAUUAUCAAUUUGAUAGAUAAUAUGAGGCUCUUAUUAUAGGUUUAAUUUUUACUUUUUGAGUAUCAGUGAGGUUGUACGUGUUUCUACAUGCUUAUUUAUUUGUAUAUUUUUAGAAAAUUGCUUCUUCAUUUCUUCUGCCCAUUUUUAAAUGGGAAAUUUGUAUUUUUCUUAUUUGUAAGACACUUUUAUAUUAUACUCUGUUAUAUUAUACUGUAUUAUAUUAUAUUAUUAUAUCAUGGAUCUUAACUUCUUUAUGCAUAUUUUAGGUUUUCCACAAUUUGCCAUUUGCUUUUCAAUUUUGUGCAUAGUAUCUUUUUAUUCUUUUGAUUUAUGGAAGUUGUAAAUAUUUAUGUAGUCAAAUCCAUCAUUAUUUUCAUUGUGGCUCCUUUCUCUACUUUGAUACACAGAAUGUCUUUCUACCUACAAAUAUGAGGAAAAUAUUAAGCUUAUGGUGCUCUUAUAAUUUAUUUAUUUUGUGUUUAACUCUGUACUCUAUCUGGCAUUCACACAAAAUAUUGUUUCAGGUAGGAGUGGACCUCUUUUUCCACUAAAAUUAACACCUUAUUCCUACUUAUUGAAUACAUCUCUAUUUUUGCACUAGUUUUUAAGCCCAUACGAUCAUAGCCUAUUUUCUUUUGUGUAAUAGAUCCUUUUAGGAACUUUCUGUUUCUAGACUCAUUUUCAGGUCUUACUGAUUUUGUGUGCUUGAAUAGGUCAGUUUACUUCUUGAUGUCUGAUUCUAUCACCUACAAAACAGAGUUGGAUCUAUCUACUUGCAGAUCAUUUUAAAGAUUAGGGAUGAUUCAAAUGAAGUGCUUAUCAUAGCACAUGUAAAGUUAGAAGCAUUCAAAACAGAAGUUACUAUAUAUUGUCUUAUUUAUUCAUAGUUUUUAUUGAUUUGUAUCUCAUCAAUUGUGCCAGUAUUACAAUGACAAACACAUUUUGAAAUUUACCAGAUGCUCUGACACAUCAGCCAUGGGAAAACUCUGACGUGUUGACUUACCAAAUAAGACUAACUAUGAACACCCCCCUCACUCAACUGUCAUAAAUCUAACAAAUAUUUCAGAACCUACAAUGUAUAAGACACUGUAUUACGCACAGUAGGGGAUAUAAAGAUAAAUGAGAAAUAGAGGUGCUAGUCAGCAUUUUUCUAACCCAUGCCUCUUCUGUUAGUGCACAAUGUAAAUGCAAUAUUUAUUUAUUCAACUAAAUAUUUAUUAGCCUCUUCUAUGUUUGGAUACAGUGUUAGGGGCUGAAUAGAAGCAUGGGAAAUUUUGUCCAAUAUGUCCCACUCAUAUCUGAUGCUGUACAUAUCAGAUAUGAACCAAUAUUGGGGAAUUCACUGAGAUAAUUUCCCUUCCAUAUUCAACUUAAAAACCUUCAUAAAGUCUCCCCUGAUUUCCCUACUAAAAGCCAUUAUUGUUUACUCCGAAUCCUCUCACCAUUUCUCUUCAUUCCUCUUUUAUAGUAGCUCAUGUGGCACAUUCCUCUGGCCUUCCAGAGCAUUUGUACAAAAUUUGAUGAUGGCAUUUUUGUUUGGAUAUUCUGUUUAUCUGUAUGCUUGUCUGUCAUUUUAGACUCCCUUUAGACUCUAUCCUCCUCAAGGUCAGGGCUGUAUCUUUUUCACCUUUGCAUCUCUGGCAAACCAUUACCAUUCAAUAGUAAGCACCUACAAUGACACUCAGUUUCUUUCCUCAUUUAGGACAUGUUAGUUGAAUGAUCUUAUACUGAAUGUCAUCUUACAGCUACAUGUGUAUUUAUCUGUGCAAUGUGCUCCAGGUUAGGGGAUAUGUUUCAUCCGUUUUUGCAUAUCCAACUGGGCCAUGUUGGUCCUCAUGUAGAGAAGUACGAAUAUCACAGUUUAUUUUUAGACUAUCUACUCUGAAAUAUGAAUAUUGGGAGGAGAAUAGGACACACUUACCAUAAUUAGUAUUAAAAACUUAUAAAAAUCCCAAAUAGUCUCAAUGUCAAAAUUUUGAAUUGUAGCAAUCUUCCUUAAAUCCUGAGACUUGAAAUUUUAUUUUACUCCUAUGAUUUUUAUUAUCUCUAUUACUUACUAGAGACUUCUUUUAUCAUUUCACAUGUUACUUAAAUUCAAUAUUACUCUUGAACUUUUAAAAUUUUCAGUUCUUAUCCCCCAUCUUUAAUUGUAAUAUAAAUUCCUUAUGGACAAAGACAAUUUCUUCUUUUGUUUAUAUGUCACACAGCACCUAGCACAGUUUCUUAAUCUUGGUAGGUCAUCAAAAAUCUUACUUACUGAUUCAAGUAAUCAGCAUUUACUCAAUAAUAUAUGUAACAGAUUACCAAAGUGAAUACAAUUUAUCCAUCCAGGUGUUUCAGAAUCAAUUUUCUUUUCAGAACCCCAAUACACUGAUUUAUUUAUUCAAUAAGUAAUUUUGAGCAUGGGCAAGAUACUGUGCCACGUAAUGGAUAUUAAAAAUGAACAUCUAUUGAGCCCCUCAUAUGUGCUCAAUAUUGGGCUCUUCACAUGGUCUUAUCAUUAUAAUUCUACGAAGUAAAUAUUAUCAUGGUUCCCAUUUCAUGAGUAAAAACAAGACAACAAACAAAAAGCUGCUAAAUUUAAACAGGCAGUGAAUACAUGAGCAAAGAUAUGAUCCCAAUCUAUUCAAAAGCCAAGUUUAGUACCUUAACCAGUACACAUACUGCCUGUAGAAAUAAGUAUACAUGCAAGGUUUUACCACCGAAGAGAUAAAUAGUUUAUCAGAUGAAAUUGAUCAGAUGAAACUUUAUAAGUAGUUCUCUCCUUUUAAGCUUAAAAUUUCACAAAGAAUAUUUUGAAUUUCAAUAUUAACAAAUUAUUGCACUAAGUUUUGAUACAGUUUUGAUAAGUUUUUAAUAUAUCCGUUUCAAAGACAUUCCCUGGAUUUAAAGUCAAUACGAUAAGAAAAAUGCAGUUUUUUUGUAAAUGAUUACACUGUAGAGUUGUUAAUACAAACAUGUAGAGGUUGAAAUAGAGAGUAAUAAUCAGGAUGCAGCUUCCACUGAAAACAAAAAAAACUACAUUUCAAAUGUACAGU
rnacentral:lncRNA from 1 species